AUUGAACGCUGGCGGCAGGCCUAACACAUGCAAGUCGAACGAGUGGCGGACGGGUGAGUAAUGUCUGGGAAACUGCCCGAUGGAGGGGGAUAACUACUGGAAACGGUAGCUAAUACCGCAUACCAUCGGAUGUGCCCAGCUGGGAUUGGCUAGUCGGGGGGGUAACGGCUCACCUGGGCGACGCUCCCUAGCUGGUCUGAGAGGAUGACCAGCCACACGGUAACUGAGACACGGUCCAGACGCCUACGGGAGGCAGCAGUGGGGAAUAUUGCACAAUGGGCGCAAGCCUGAUGCAGCGAUGCCGCGUGGAUGAAGGAGGCCUUCGGGUUGUAAAGUACUUUAAGCGAGGAGGCGUUACUCGCAGAAGAAGCACCGGCUAACUCCGUGCCAGCAGCCGCGGUAAUUC
rnacentral:rRNA from 1 species